rnacentral:rRNA from 1 species
GAUGAACGCUGGCGGCGUGCCUAAUACAUGCAAGUCGAGCGAACGGACGAGAAGCUUGCUUCUCUGAUGUUAGCGGCGGACGGGUGAGUAACACGUGGAUAACCUACCUAUAAGACUGGGAUAACUUCGGGAAACCGGAGCUAAUACCGGAUAAUAUUUUGAACCGCAUGGUUCAAAAGUGAAAGACGGUCUUGCUGUCACUUAUAGAUGGAUCCGCGCUGCAUUAGCUAGUUGGUAAGGUAACGGCUUACCAAGGCAACGAUGCAUAGCCGACCUGAGAGGGUGAUCGGCCACACUGGAACUGAGACACGGUCCAGACUCCUACGGGAGGCAGCAGUAGGGAAUCUUCCGCAAUGGGCGAAAGCCUGACGGAGCAACGCCGCGUGAGUGAUGAAGGUCUUCGGAUCGUAAAACUCUGUUAUUAGGGAAGAACAUAUGUGUAAGUAACUGUGCACAUCUUGACGGUACCUAAUCAGAAAGCCACGGCUAACUACGUGCCAGCAGCCGCGGUAAUACGUAGGUGGCAAGCGUUAUCCGGAAUUAUUGGGCGUAAAGCGCGCGUAGGCGGUUUUUUAAGUCUGAUGUGAAAGCCCACGGCUCAACCGUGGAGGGUCAUUGGAAACUGGAAAACUUGAGUGCAGAAGAGGAAAGUGGAAUUCCAUGUGUAGCGGUGAAAUGCGCAGAGAUAUGGAGGAACACCAGUGGCGAAGGCGACUUUCUGGUCUGUAACUGACGCUGAUGUGCGAAAGCGUGGGGAUCAAACAGGAUUAGAUACCCUGGUAGUCCACGCCGUAAACGAUGAGUGCUAAGUGUUAGGGGGUUUCCGCCCCUUAGUGCUGCAGCUAACGCGUUAAGCACUCCGCCUGGGGAGUACGACCGCAAGGUUGAAACUCAAAGGAAUUGACGGGGACCCGCACAAGCGGUGGAGCAUGUGGUUUAAUUCGAAGCAACGCGAAGAACCUUACCAAAUCUUGACAUCCUUUGACAACUCUAGAGAUAGAGCCUUCCCCUUCGGGGGACAAAGUGACAGGUGGUGCAUGGUUGUCGUCAGCUCGUGUCGUGAGAUGUUGGGUUAAGUUCCGCAACGAGCGCAACCCUUAAGCUUAGUUGCCAUCAUUAAGUUGGGCACUCUAAGUUGACUGCCGGUGACAAACCGGAGGAAGGUGGGGAUGACGUCAAAUCAUCAUGCCCCUUAUGAUUUGGGCUACACACGUGCUACAAUGGACAAUACAAAGGGCAGCGAAACCGCGAGGUCAAGCAAAUCCCAUAAAGUUGUUCUCAGUUCGGAUUGUAGUCUGCAACUCGGCUACAUGAAGCUGGAAUCGCUAGUAAUCGUAGAUCAGCAUGCUACGGUGAAUACGUUCCCGGGUCU